AGAGUUUGAUCAUGGCUCAGAACGAACGCUGGCGGCAUGCCUAACACAUGCAAGUCGAACGGGAUCCAGGCUUCGGCCUGGUGAGAGUGGCGGACGGGUGAGUAACACGUGGGAACCUGCCUUUUGGUUCGGGAUAACCGCGGGAAACUGCGGCUAAUACCGGAUGCUCCCGAGAGGGGAAAGAUUUAUCGCCAGAAGAGGGGCCCGCGUCCGAUUAGGUAGUUGGUGAGGUAAAUGGGCUCACCAAGCCGACGAUCGGUAGCUGGUCUGAGAGGAUGAUCAGCCACACUGGGACUGAGAUACGGCCCAGACUCCUACGGGAGGCAGCAGUGGGGAAUAUUGGACAAUGGGGGCAACCCUGAUCCAGCAAUGCCGCGUGAGUGAUGAAGGCCUUAGGGUUGUAAAGCUCUUUCACCGGGGAAGAUAAUGACGGUACCCGGAGAAGAAGCCCCGGCUAACUCCGUG
rnacentral:rRNA from 1 species